rnacentral:rRNA from 1 species
UACGAAGGGGGCGAGCGUUGUUCGGAGUUACUGGGCGUAAAGGGUGUGUAGGCGGUUGUUUAAGUUUGGUGUGAAAUCUCCCGGCUCAACUGGGAGGGUGCGCCGAAUACUGAAUGACUUGGAGUGCGGGAGAGGAAAGGUGGAAUUCCUGGUGUAGCGGUGAAUGACGUAGAGAUGUGGAGGAACACCGAUGGCGAAGGCAGCCCCCUGGGUCAAGAUUG